GCCUGGGUGGCUCAGUCGGUUAAGCGUCCGACUUCGGCUCAGGUCAUGAUCUCACGGUCUGUGGGUUCAAGCCCCACAUCGGGCU
rnacentral:tRNA from 1 species